rnacentral:rRNA from 1 species
UGGGGAUUAUUGGACAAUGGGCGAAAGCCUGAUCCAGCCAUGCCGCGUGUGUGAAGAAGGUCUUCGGAUUGUAAAGCACUUUAAGUUGGGAGGAAGGGCAGUAAGCGAAUACCUUGCUGUUUUGACGUUACCGACAGAAUAAGCACCGGCUAACUCUGUGCCAGCAGCCGCGGUAAUACAGAGGGUGCAAGCGUUAAUCGGAAUUACUGGGCGUAAAGCGCGCGUAGGUGGUUCGUUAAGUUGAAUGUGAAAGCCCCGGGCUCAACCUGGGAACUGCAUCCAAAACUGGCGAGCUAGAGUAGGGCAGAGGGUGGUGGAAUUUCCUGUGUAGCGGAGAAAUGCGUAGAUAUAGGAAGGAACACCAGUGGCGAAGGCGACCACCUGGGCUCAUACUGACACUGAGGUGCGAAAGCGUGGGGAGCAAACAGG